GGUGCCACUACGGCCGGCCCCGGCAGCCCCCCGGCUCCUCCGCCUCCCCCUGCAAAGUCGUCUGGUGCCCACAAACGCACCCGCCCGGGCAGGGAGCUGCUCUCGGGGCAGGUGGAGAACACAGGGGGCUGCCCUGGCCGGGGAUUCACAGCCGGUCUGCGGACAUGGAGAAUUCGUGGAAGAGGAGCUGCUCCAGGCCACAGCUCCCUGGGAGCCGGCCGGCCUUAUGGAAUGUUAAGAAGUAUGUAUUUUUGGGCUGGGACCCCCACGCCGGGAGCCCCCAUCAUCAGCACCGUGCAGACAGCGCCUCCGGAGAGAUGAUGCGUCCCUGGGGCUGGUAAAAAGGAACCAGAUCAACUUGCACUGGAUUUGGUCCCCUUCAACCAGCUGCAGCGGCGCAUGAGCCACGGCACCCGCUGCCCCUGACCGCUGCCGCCGUGCUGCCCUGAGAGGGCUCAGGGUGAGGAGUGGGUGCAAGGAGUGGAGAAAGGAGGUGCAGAGUGGGGCUUUGGUUGGUUUUCGAGGCUGCCCGAUGGACAGGAGACAGACGGAGCAGCUGCAGCUCUGCUCUCCAGACUGCCCGGGGCCCUCGCCACAACCGCGGGGUCUCACCGGACGGGCAAAGCCCCGUGCUGGCACAGGAACCCUGGCACAGGCCUGAGGAGCCCCGGGCCGAAGCCUCCUUCCCCCGCAGCUCCCGCACCUCCCGGCCGGGGCCAAAGGGCUCCUGCGGGAACAUCCCCAGGGUGCGAGCCCCGAGGACGGGAGAGCCGCAGUCCUGCUCUAGCAGAGACAGGAACAUCAAGCGUUAAAGGGAAAGGGAAACGGAGCGAGCAGUUUCAAAUUCUCGGAAAUCACCUCACCCGACACACCCUGCACAAGUCGAUCUUUGCUGCAAACUUCAUCCCAUCAGAACACAACAGACUCAGAAGAGGUUGGUGGAGCGGGGAGCUGCGGUCCCGCGAACUAGGUAUAGGAAGACUCAAUCAGCUCUCGCUCCCCCUCCAGCCCACCAUGGUUCCCUUUAUAUUCCUUGUGGGAUUAUUCGUAGGAGCUGUAGGAGCUGCAGGAGCUGUAGUUGCAGGAGUGGCAGCAGCGAAGCAUCGCAAUAGGAAUUCCAAUGGGGGAGACCAAAGGGAAAGCCAUGCUGGCCAGAGAAGAACUCCUGAUUACCACUACCAGUGAUCAGAAGCAGAUUUGCUUCCUUCCAAGCAGCCGGCUUCAUGUCUUCACACUACUGAAACUGGAAAGUCUCUGCUGACCCCCAGCUGCCCCUCAAGCAGAUUGGGAUUGCUUGAGCUAUAAUGCUUUGAAAGCUUAAUAAAAAUGCAUUGCUGGUG